CUGCAACCCUAGCCUAGCUGCUUGCUUCUUUUCCCUCCCUGCCGCCGCCACACAGAGCACACCGUCUUCCGCACGCGUCAAGCGCGAGCUCGUCCUCGAAGCCUCACGCGAGCACCAACAAGCUUCCCGCUUCAUCUCCGCGCCGUCGCCAUGAUCUCCGGGACGUCGCCGACGUCCGCGUCGUUGUCUCCGACCCAUCGUCCUUGACCAAGCUUCGAUGUCUUUGCCGUUUAAUCAACGCAACUUCCUUCACACAGGUCAGCAACGACCGACAGCAUCCAGGCCGCGCCACGGGCCACGGCCAAGCGCGCAACCGCCGUCGUCUACCUCGGCCCCGUCUUCUUCCUCGACGCCGGUAGCCGCCCCGCUCUUUUCUCCUCGUCGAGCACCACCAGGCAUUUGCUUCUUCCCGGAUAGGAUCACGAAGUGGUGAUGUGAGAUACGACGAGUUCUCCGACAAGUUCUUCUGCAGCUUUUCACAGGCGAGCCCACCCCUUCACCUAUUUUACUUUUACAUGCUCUUUUGAUCUAUUGCUAUCCUUGUGUUGCGAUUCUGUUGUGUCACGUGUCCUAUCCACCUGUUACCUAUAUGUCCGAGAUACACCUCCUCGCCCUACCUAUUGUUUGUUGUUUGCCAGUUUUGCGAGUCGUAGGCGAGUUUAGGGUCUUGUUGAUAUCUCGAGAUGUUCGGGGUAUCUUGUUGGGAGGUUAUCACAUGCUAUAUCUUUUGUUGGGGAUAAUCACACUUUACUUUAUUGUUAACAACUAAAAUUGUAAGCAGAGGCAUCUGUGAGCCCCUUUGCGAAAAAGCAUCGGAACUUUGACUUGCUAAUGUCCCCUAGGACCCGAGUUCUUGUUAUCUGUUCCGAGAUUGAGCGCUCUACCCGUACGUGGGGGAAUGGGACCCCCAUCACCCACUACCUUUCCUCGAGUCUGUUUAUUGGGAGCCACAACCUUGGUUUUAUUUGCUCAUAUGCACGAUGCACGAUUUACUUCUGUUGCCUUCGGGUGUUUAUAUUCCGUUCUGUACUCAUAACGCGGAACGAUUAGCGAAAGCAGGUUGUUCACACUUAGCUUAGCCGUUGUCGCAAACCUCUGGGUCCGUAUCGGAGUACGGCCGGACUUCGUCACGGGUAGCUUAGUUGGGUGGCUCCCAUUAAAUUUUAUCUUGCAUUGGGAACGGUCUUGAUGUGAGACUCCACCUGUAGUAAGUGGGUUCGAGCAUGCGUAUGGUUACAUUUGGGCAACCCCUGCAGGGUGUACAUCUUAUCGAUAAGCCGUGUCCGCGGUUAUGGACGACUUGGAAUUGUAUAGCUUGAUCAUAGAACAACUUACACCUUAUACUUGUUGUUAAUAGUCUGAUAAUAACUUGCGUACUAAUAUAGCUUUACUACAACCGAUACCUAAUAAAACUUGUCCACCGUUGAGUGCCUUUUACAUUGCCUCUUCGCUUUGUUGAAGGGGAUAUGUGUAUUUGGCUGGGUUAUGUUUGUGUAAUAUUUAUCUGUUACCUUGUGCGCUCUCUUAUCUUAUCUGAGUAGACGGAUGUUGUAGUGUGUCUCUAUUGGUUAUAGUUUUGCUGCCGCUAAAUCUACCAUAUAGCCCCAGGCGAUAUAUAUAUAUACUCGCCCGGCGAGCAUAGCCAUUUCUAGUCUCGCUAAGUACAUGCCGGAGUUCGUUCCUUGGUACUUACUCUCGCCUUUUCCCCUUUCUCUUUUGCUCCCUCCCUCUUGUCGGCAACCGAUGGCCCGAC